GAGAAGCAGGGGCAGGAGCGGUGAGGAAGAGGGGCAUUUGGUCGAGGUUGGGUCAGGUAAGGACACGGUGGUAGGCAAAGGCCAGGGGGCAGGUGGGGUGCCUGGGAGGUCCGUGGUCAGAGGAUGGGUGCUGGUGGGGCCUGGAGAUGGCGGUGCUGCCUCCACCCUCCUGAGCCUGGAGGCCUGACAAUUGCAUCCGAAAAAUCCACAGCCACCAUCGUGUCAGCAGCACGUUGACCAUGGCUCACGACAUGGGGACGGGCAUUCUUGCCGCUUCCUCAGAAUAUUAACGACGGUCCCAGCAGAAUGCUGUAUGAAUAUUCAUAUGGAGCUCAAUCAAGCCUGGGCUGGCGGAUGGCACAGGGAGAGGCGCCGUGACAGGCUGGGCCCGGGUCCCAGUGGGCACACCUUGGCAGGGUGUGGCCGUAAGUCUCCGCCAGCUCCAGCCAGGAUCUGCCUCCCUCGGGAUGGGACAGGCCUGGGCCUGUUGUAUGGCCACAGGCAGAAGAGGCCGAUGAGUGACAUGACAUCACCACUUAGUGACUGCCCUCGUCCUGGGAGCCCAGAUGCUGGGGCGGGGCUCCUUCCUGAAAGACCCAGAGAAGUUCAUCUCAGGUUUAAUGGGGGCACUGCUGCCUCAGAAGCCAGGCAGUGGGUGGUGAGGUCCCUGUCCUCACUGGGGUCUGCAGCCGAGGAGGACUGGCCACCGAGGCCCAGGCCAGGCACAGGGAUGCUGGGUGGCCAUGGCCAGUCCUCCCGGGAGCCCCUAGCACCUUGGGCCUGCCCCCAGCUCUCACGCCGGGAGAGGUUUUUUCCCACUCCGGUGGCCGACGCCCUGGUGAAGGGAUUCGCAGAACGGGAGCACAUGGAUUUCCAGUUCUUCCCAGCGGGCGCACGUAGGCCGGCACCCUCUCUCUCGUCUUUGGGCAGAACUCGAGUGCUGCUAGACCCUUGGCCCCGCUCACUGCGCUGGGCCGCACUGCACCCAUUUCCUCCCAGCAAGGGCGGUCCCUGGACUCCUCUGACCUGAACUGCUUCCGAGUUUGCUUCUCAGAACCAAGAGGGGCUGGCUCUGCGCCCUGCCUACCUGUCCAGGGGUGGGGGCUGCCCUUUGAAGCUAUCAAUCUGGGUUUUAAGUGUGGAUUCAUUAUUGACAACACCAUGACGUUAUGCUGACAUGAAUUAUUUGUAUGUUUUUCAAAUUGUGCUGUGAUAACCCUGGCUGUCUUCCUGCUCCCAUAGUGGAUAAAAGCGUCCGAAAGAAUGCCGCCAUCUCUCUUCUCCCCACAGCCUGGAGCUGGGCCAACCGGAACUCAGCCACCACCUGUGCUCGGUGCAGCCUGGUUUGACCCCCACCCUCCUCCACCUGGCUGGGGUGCGUGCCUGGCACAUGUAUGUGUGCACGUAUGUGCGUGUGGGGGUGUGGCAUUUGUGUGCCCAAGUGUUUUCUGCUGUCGUGUCUCACGUCCUGGCUCUGCCGCCCUCCACAUCCAUGGCUCCUUCCCGUGCUCCCUCAGAUGGUCCCCCAAAGAACGGAGGGACUCCGGCC
rnacentral:lncRNA from 1 species